AACGAACGCUGGCGGCAUGCCUAACACAUGCAAGUCGAACGAGACCUUCGGGUCUAGUGGCGCACGGGUGCGUAACGCGUGGGAACCUGCCCUUAGGUUCGGAAUAACUCCCCGAAAGGGGUGCUAAUACCGGAUAAUGUCUUCGGACCAAAGAUUUAUCGCCUUUGGAUGGGCCCGCGUUGGAUUAGCUAGUUGGUAGGGUAAAAGCCUACCAAGGCGACGAUCCAUAGCUGGUCUGAGAGGAUGAUCAGCCACACUGGGACUGAGACACGGCUCAGACUCCUACGGGAAGCAGCAGUGGGGAAUAUUGGACAAUGGGCGAAAGCCUGAUCCAGCAAUGCCGCGUGAGUGAUGAAGGCCUUAGGGUUGUAAAGCUCUUUUACCCGGGAUGAUAAUGACAGUACCGGGAGAAUAAGCGCCGGCUAACUCCGUG
rnacentral:rRNA from 1 species